rnacentral:rRNA from 1 species
UACAGAGGGUGCAAUCGUUAAUCGGAAUUACUGGGCGUAAAGCGCGCGUAGGCCGUCGAGUAAGUCGGAUGUGAAAUCCCCGGGCUUAACCUGGGAAUUGCAUUCGAUACUGCUUGGCUAGAGUGUGGAAGAGGGAAGCGGAAUUUCCGGUGUAGCGGUGAAAUGCGUAGAUAUCGGAAGGAACACCAGUGGCGAAGGCGGCUUCCUGGUCCAACACUGACGCUGAGGCGCGAAAGCGUGGGGAGAGAACAGG